UUCCGGUUGAUCCUGCCAGAGGUUACUGCUAUCGGUGUUCGCCUAAGCCAUGCGAGUCAUAUGUAGCAAUACAUGGCGUACUGCUCAGUAACACGUGGAUAACCUGCCCUUGGGACCGGCAUAACCCCGGGAAACUGGGGAUAAUUCCGGAUAACGCAUAUUUGCUGGAAUGCUUUAUGCGUCAAAAGGAUUCGUCUGCCCAAGGAUGGGUCUGCGGCCUAUCAGGUAGUAGUGGGUGUAAUGUACCUACUAGCCAGCGACGGGUACGGGUUGUGAGAGCAAGAGCCCGGAGAUGGAUUCUGAGACAUGAAUCCAGGCCCUACGGGGCGCAGCAGGCGCGAAAACUUUACAAUGCGGGAAACCGUGAUAAGGGGACACCGAGUGCCAGCAUCAUAUGCUGGCUGUCCGGAUGUGUAAAAUACAUCCGUUAGCAAGGGCCGGGCAAGACCGGUGCCAGCCGCCGCGGUAACACCGGCGGCCCGAGUGGUGAUCGUGAUUAUUGGGUCUAAAGGGUCCGUAGCCGGUUUGGUCAGUCCUCCGGGAAAUCUGAUAGCUUAACUAUUAGGCUUUCGGGGGAUACUGCCAGACUUGGAACCGGGAGAGGUAAGAGGUACUACAGGGGUAGGAGUGAAAUCUUGUAAUCCCUGUGGGACCACCUGUGGCGAAGGCGUCUUACCAGAACGGGUUCGACGGUGAGGGACGAAAGCUGGGGGCACGAACCGGAUUAGAUACCCGGGUAGUCCCAGCCGUAAACGAUGCUCGCUAGGUGUCAGGCAUGGCGCGACCGUGUCUGGUGCCGCAGGGAAGCCGUGAAGCGAGCCACCUGGGAAGUACGGCCGCAAGGCUGAAACUUAAAGGAAUUGGCGGGGGAGCACAACAACGGGUGGAGCCUGCGGUUUAAUUGGAGUCAACGCCGGG
rnacentral:rRNA from 1 species